GAACCUGCGGAAGGAUCAUUGUCGAAAUCGAACGGAAGAACGACCCGCGAAUCGUCAUUGCGUACUAGACAGAGCCCGUGAGCACCUAACGCUCAUGGGACUCGCGUCGCGUCGGCGUGGGUGUACUCGAGACCAGCGUCGUACCGGCGGACAAACAACGUCAGCACGGAUCGUGCCAAGGAGCUGCAUGGAGAGAAUCGUCGUCCCACGCCUUUGAUAGUCCUCGAUGCGGGACGGGGGGCGGGGGAUGUACGCAAUCUCUACUCAAGUCUAAACGACUCUCGGCAACGGAUAUCUCGGCUCUUGCAUCGAUGAAGAACGUAGCGAAAUGCGAUACUUGGUGUGAAUUGCAGAAUCCCGCGAACCAUCAAUUCUUUGAACGCAAGUUGCGCCCGAAGCCAUUCGGCCGAGGGCACGCCUGCCUGGGUGUCGUGAAUCCCCUUGCCCCUAGGCACCCGCAUGAGCAUUGGCGGGGAUAUAUGCUCGGGCGCAGAAUAUGGUCUCCCGUGGGAUCGGCAUGCACGGCAUGUCGAGGUGCGGUUGGCCGAAAAUCGAGCAAUGGCUGUGACGGGCACCACGGCGUUCGGUGGAUCGAAUGAGAUUGGCUGCGCCGUGGGCUCGGCAUUAGGCGGGCUCCGGACUUUGAGUA
rnacentral:rRNA from 1 species